AGAAAUACAAAAACAGAAUAGGUAGAAGAUGUUGGCUGAAGGCUUGAAUGGAAUAGAUUUGGGGGAAAGGAAUGAAGAUGCUUAAGAUGUGUCAGACUCUUUUGAAUACUUUUUAGUAUCAUUUAGCAUAUUUUCAUAUGAAAAUAAUAGUUACGGAUCGCUUUUUUCCAUUAAAACAUUAAAUCCAUUGACGUUAGUAUCUUUCUGAUAAGAUUGAAUCCUUGUGUAAAAGGUUUAUGUGUUAAUGUCUUUCAGACACAACGCCUAUGUUGAUCUUGUAAGAUCUUUGGUGAGGGCUUUCCCAUUUUGAUAAGAUCCAACAAAGUGGAA
rnacentral:lncRNA from 1 species